rnacentral:rRNA from 1 species
AGAGUUUGAUCAUGGCUCAGGAUGAACGCUAGCGACAGGCUUAACACAUGCAAGUCGAGGGGCAGCGGAGGCGAGUGCUUGCACUUGCCAGACGGCGACCGGCGCACGGGUGAGUAACACGUAUGCGACCUGCCCGUAGCAGGGGGAUAAGCGGAAGAAAUUCCGUCUAAUACCGCGUAAUAUCUUUCGGGGGCAUCCCUGAGGGAUUAAAGGAAGCGAUUCCGGCUACGGAUGGGCAUGCGGCGCAUUAGCUAGUCGGCGGGGUAACGGCCCACCGAGGCGACGAUGCGUAGGGGUUCUGAGAGGAAGGUCCCCCACACUGGUACUGAGACACGGACCAGACUCCUACGGGAGGCAGCAGUGAGGAAUAUUGGUCAAUGGGCGAGAGCCUGAACCAGCCAAGUCGCGUGAGGGAAGACGGUCCUAUGGAUUGUAAACCUCUUUUGUCGGGGAGCAAAAAGGCCUCGUGAGGCCACAAGUGAGAGUACCCGAAGAAAAAGCAUCGGCUAACUCCGUGCCAGCAGCCGCGGUAAUACGGAGGAUGCGAGCGUUAUCCGGAUUUAUUGGGUUUAAAGGGUGCGUAAGCGGACUGGAAAGUCAGCGGUAAAAUCGAGAGGCUCAACCUCUUUCCGCCGUUGAAACUGUCGGUCUUGAGUGGGCGA